UAAAACGUAAGAUAAAAAUCAACCCUGGGGUC
rnacentral:piRNA from 1 species